GUAUUAGGUUGGUGCAAAAGUAAUUGCAGUUUUUGCCAUUACUUUUAAUAGCAAUUAAAAGCAAUUACUUUUGCACCAGCUUAAU
rnacentral:tRNA from 10 species